UUACAAACAACUAACUGAAAGAAGCUUGAUUCAAUAAGAGGAAGAAAAAUUGUGCAGUAGUCUCCCUUAUUAUCAUUAGUUCAGGUUUUCUGCUACUCAGAAAAGCUGAAGGAGAGGAAAGAACAGAUCUGGCAGAUAUUAUUUCAGAGCUAGUUGGAAAGAGUGUGCACGAAAAGAUCUUGCCUGGAGAAAUGAGUCCUGCAUGUGAAUGUUAGAGGAGCUAUGUAUGUAAGUUUUUAUCAGGAUCAGGGCAGAAGCUAAAAGUGGAAGAUUCUGUCUUCAACUGCUCCCUUCUUCUCUGGACUUUUUUCUAUUUAGUAUAUUACCUUGUUUUUCAAGCUACUCUUAGCUUUGGGCUAGUAAAAAGAAGACAAAAGCAAAGGAAAAAACAAAAACCUUCCUCAUUUUCAUAUUCUCACCUGGAUGCUGUCUUAUUUUUUUCCUUUCCAUUACAGCUAUUUAAAAAGCAGAGAUAGCAUCAUGUUUGAAAACAUGGGUUUAAGCUGAAAGACUAAGGUUCAAGUUUAAGCUCUGCCCCUUGUAUGAUUUUGCUUCAGCUUUUCACAUGAUAAAAUGAAAGAAAUAAUGGCCCUUUAUAGGGUUUCUUUGAGAAUCAAAUGACAAUACAUGUGAAGUGUUUAGUACUAUAGCUGGCAUACAGUUAGCACUUCAUAAAUGUCAGCAGCAAUCAUUGUCGUCAUCAUUGUCACCUUCAUAGUUACAAGCUGAGUUGCAUCCCCUCAUAAUUUAUAUAAAUAGCUUGAAGCCCUAAACCCCAUUGUGACUGUAUUUGGAUAUCAGGCCUUUAAGGAGAUAACUGAGGUUAAAUGAGGUUAUAAGAGUAGAGGCCCUAAUCCAAUGGGAACAGUGUCCUUGCAAGAGGAAGAGACACCAGCAGCAAGUGCACAAAGAAGAAGGCCCCAUGAGGAUGCAGAGAAAAAAAUGGCCAUCUGCAAGCCAAGGUGAGAGGCCUCAAAAGAAACAAAACCUGUUGACACCUUGAUCUUGAACUUCCAGCCUCCAGGACUGUGAGAAAAUGAAUUUCUGUUGUUUAGGCCACCCAGUGUGUACUGUCUGUUAUGGCAGCACUAGUGGGCUAACCACCACCACCAUCACCAUCAUCGUCAUUUUGUCCCUUUAGUAAGGAUCCCAUCCUUUUUCCCAUUUUCUCUUUAACCUGCUGAUGUCAAGUUCUUUCUCUUGUGGAGCUG
rnacentral:lncRNA from 1 species